CCAUUUUCAGUUGGAUUUCCUGCAGCAGCCAGGGAGGUUUGGGAGCCCUUUGUUCUCCUCCCAGCGCCUCGAGGCCAAUGGCAGCUGGCCGGACGCCGCCACCCCCUCGUCCAUCACCGACCUGGGCAGCGACGCCUCCAAUUAAAGAAUUUGCAAUUCCAAGGACCUUUUUGAGAGGAGAGAGGUCAAUUAACGCUAAUUAAUCACGGGCCGAUAGAAUGAUUGACUUCUAAUGAAUGAAUUACCUCAGACCAAGCCAAUAGAUUGUGAUGGCAGCGACGCCUCUACCUCUCAGUUAUUUAUAACUUCAUUUCGCCUCAGUAAAUUCCUUUUUUUUAAGGAAAAACUUUGGAUUUUACACAAAGAACCUGAAGAAGAAGGGAAAAAGAAAGUCUUGGCUUUUUUUCUCCAGUUUUACAGCGGAAAAAAUGGAUUUAUUUUCGUUUUUGUCUGGUUUUUUACACUGGGAUUUCUGCUCUAGGUGAGUUAAACCCCUCCUGUUGUAAUUGGAUGUUCUCUGUAUUGGAAUUUUCUACAGGGAAUUUCUGUAGGAAAUUCUAUAGAGAAUUCUGCAGGAAGUUUUUAUUGAUUAAUUGAGCGAAUUAAUGGAAAAGUUGCUUUACCAAACGUCUCGCCGAACGUCCAUUGGUGUCAUUCCAAGGGAUUUCAUAUUGGGAAAUUCCACGGCUUCACUUUUCCUGCUGAAAAAGUCCAAAAAAUAAAAUGAAAAACCCCAAAUUUACCACAAAACAGCCAAUCCACGGGAUUUCCCCAUGGGAAUUCAAGGGGGUUUGUGCCACUCUGGUGCUGUUCUCAGAGUCCAACCCUUUCAGUUGAGAUUUUAUCAAAGAAAAUAAAAUUUCAAAGCCUUUUUUUCCCUUUU